AAGUCGUAACAAGGUUUCCGUAGGUGAACCUGCGGAAGGAUCAUUCACACACGUUAGUCAUGUUGGCUGUGCAGUUCGCUGCAUGGCCGGCAUGCAACCCAAACCAAAUCCACUGAGCUACGUACAACCCCUUAUAAAAAGACAGGCACUGGGUCGAGCUUACUCCUCAGACGGUAAACGCCGGGAACCCGUCAUAGCAUGAAUCGGGGCAACCUGAGUAAUUGUUAUGGCCAAAGCACCAGAUCAUCGGAUUCCAACCCCGGUGGUCGAACCUACCGCACUGGCUUUUCCUGGCAACGGGGACUGCCUUACAUUUUGUCGAAAUCUUCGCUGGCGAAAGCUGGCAUUACGUAACCAAACACAACUCUUUGCAAUGGAUAUCUUGGUUCUC
rnacentral:misc_RNA from 1 species